UACGUAGGGGGCAAGCGUUGUCCGGAAUCAUUGGGCGUAAAGAGCGCGCAGGCGGCUGGGCAAGUCCGAUGUGAAAGCUUCCGGCUUAACUGGAAAAUUGCAUCGGAAACUGCUCGGCUUGAAGGUGGGAGAGGGUAGCGGAAUUCCCGGUGUAGUGGUGAAAUACGUAGAUAUCUGGAGGAACACCGGUGGCGAAGGCGGCUACCUGGCCCAACAUUGACGCUGAGACCCAAAAGCGUGGGGAUCAAACAGG
rnacentral:rRNA from 1 species